rnacentral:piRNA from 1 species
UCCAAGAAGAGGUUUUGACUCAUUCAAGU